CCUACGGGAGGCAGCAGUGAGGAAUAUUGGUCAAUGGCCGUAAGGCUGAACCAGCCAAGUAGCGUGAGGGAAGACUGCCCUACGGGUUGUAAACCUCUUUUAUGCGGGGAUAAAGGUGUCCACGUGUGGAUGUUUGCAGGUACCGCAUGAAUAAGCACCGGCUAAUUCCGUGCCAGCAGCCGCGGUAAUACGGAAGGUCCGGGCGUUAUCCGGAUUUAUUGGGUUUAAAGGGUGCGUAGGCCGGUCUUUAAGCGGGCCGUGAAAUUUUGUGGCUCAACCAUCAGAGUGCGGCGCGAACUGGAGACCUAGAGUGCGCGGGAGGCAUGCGGAAUUCGUGGUGUAGCGGUGAAAUGCUUAGAUAUCACGAAGAACCCCGAUUGCGAAGGCAGCCGACCGCAGCGUUACUGACGCUGAAGCUCGAAAGCGCGGGUAUCGAACAGGAUUAGAUACCCAAGUAGUC
rnacentral:rRNA from 1 species